rnacentral:misc_RNA from 1 species
UCGAGUUUAUUCAACUCCCAACCCUAUGUGAACCUUACCUUUAUGUUGCUUCGGCGGUGUCGCGCCGGGUUGCCCUCGUGGCUCCCCGGGCUGACGCGCCCGCCGGAGACCAGAAACUCUUGGUUUUGCGAAAGCAGUAUUCUUCUGAGUGGCCGAAAGGCAAAAAAACAAAUGAAUCA